rnacentral:misc_RNA from 1 species
GAACGCACCUUGCACCCUUUGGCAUUCUGAAGGGUAUGCUCGUUUGAGUGUCAUUGUACUCUCACACUUCCGAUCUUUGGAUUGGGAGCGGUGGACUUGGGUGUUGCUGCUUACUGUGGCUCACCUCAAAUCGAUUCGUGCACCUCUUGGUUGGACAUAGUACGGCGUGAUAAGUGUCUUCGCCGGCACCUCAUUCGAGGGUGGCUGAUCGGGAGCUCUGUGCUUCAAACCGUCCUCGGACAACAACUGACAACUUGACCUCAAAUCGAGUAGGACUACCCGCUGAACUUAAG